GACGAACGCUGGCGGCGUGCCUAAUACAUGCAAGUAGAACGCAGUUGCGAACGGGUGCGUAACUCGUAGGUAACUGCCUGGUAGCGGGGGAUAACUAUUGGAAACGAUAGCUAAUACCGCCUCCUACCAGAUGGACCUGCGUUGUAUGAGCUAGUUGGUGGGGUAACGGCUUACCGAGGCGACGAUACAUAGCCGACCUGAGAGGGUGAUCGGCCACACUGGGACUGAGACACGGCCCAGACUCCUACGGGAGGCAGCAGUAGGGAAUCUUCGGCAAUGGACGGAAGUCUGACCGAGCAACGCCGCGUGAGUGAAGAAGGUUUUCGGAUCGUAAAGCUCUGUUGUAAGAGAAGCGGUAUCUUACCAGAAAGGGACGGCUAACUACGUGCCAGCAGCCGCGGUAAUUC
rnacentral:rRNA from 1 species